rnacentral:misc_RNA from 1 species
GGGGUUUGCAGGUUUCUCUUUUGAAAUCAGCUCCCCUGAAAGAUAUUAGCUGGUUGCCGUGUGUAAACUGUCUAUUGGUGUGAUAAUUAUCUACGCCGUGGACUAUUUGCCGUUUGUAGCACUGCUUCUAACCGUCUGUUCAUUCAGACAAUAUAUGACAAUUUGACCUCAAAUCAGGUAGGACUACCCGCUGAACUUAA